rnacentral:rRNA from 1 species
UACGUAGGGCGCAAGCGUUAUCCGGAAUUAUUGGGCGUAAAGAGCUCGUAGGCGGUCUGUCGCGUCGGAUGUGGAAAUCCAGGGCUUAACCCUGGGCCUGCAUUCGAUACGGGCAGACUAGAGUUCGGUAGGGGAGACUGGAAUUCCUGGUGUAGCGGUGAAAUGCGCAGAUAUCAGGAGGAACACCGGUGGCGAAGGCGGGUCUCUAGGCCGACACUGACGCUGAGGAGCGAAAGCGUGGGGAGCGAACGGG